UACGGAGGGAGCUAGCGUUAUUCGGAAUUACUGGGCGUAAAGCGCACGUAGGCGGCUUUGUAAGUUAGAGGUGAAAGCCUGGAGCUCAACUCCAGAAUUGCCUUUAAGACUGCAUCGCUUGAAUCCAGGAGAGGUGAGUGGAAUUCCGAGUGUAGAGGUGAAAUUCGUAGAUAUUCGGAAGGAACACCAGUGGCGAAGGCGGCU
rnacentral:rRNA from 1 species